rnacentral:rRNA from 1 species
UACGUAGGUGGCAAGCGUUGUCCGGAUUUACUGGGCGUAAAGGGCGUGCAGGCGGUCUGUUAAGUCUAGGGUGAAAGCUCCCGGCUCAACUGGGAGAGGUCCUUGGAUACUGGCGGACUUGAGGGAGGCAGAGGAAAGUGGAAUUCCCGGUGUAGUGGUGAUAUGCGUAGAUAUCGGGAGGAACACCAGUGGCGAAGGCGGCUUUCUGGGCCUUGCCUGACGCUGAGACGCGAAAGCGUGGGGAGCGAACGGG